UGUGUGUGUGUGUGUAUAUAUAUAUAUAUAUAUAUGAGCUGCUGUAGAUAACAUGACUUUGAUAAGUUGCUAAUGCUCUUUAAAUCAAAUGUCAGACAGCAAGUGAUGUAUCCAUGUAUUUUCUGUGUUGCUUAUUCUACACAGAGUUACAGAGAGGUCGGGGUCCUAUCUCGCACGAGACGGGGAGACCCUGGAUAGAGUGUCAGUCCAUCACAGGGCAAAUUCACACACUGACAAUCCCAUUCACACACAAUUUAGAGAUGCCAAUCAGCCUACAAUGCUUAUCACUGGACUGGAGAAGGAAAUCGGAGUACCUAGCUGAAAAAAUAAAACCCCAAAGCACAUGGAGAAAAUGUAAACUCCACACAUGGGGCAGAGACAGGAAUUAAACCCCCAACCCUGAGGUGCUGCAAUGGUGCAGUGGGUGAAGGAAACCUAACAGCUUGAGGGUCCUUUUAAUAAUCACAUGUUCUCGCUGUGUUCAUAUUGCUUUCCAAUAUAAUAAAUACUUUAACCUGCAUAAAUGGUGGGCCUGAUCUCUAACAUCGACGAGACAGUCUACCUACAGGAGACUAAAAACCUGGAGAGAUGGUGAAAGGAGAACAAUCUUCUCCUGAAUGUCAGCAAGACUAAAGAGUUGAUAGUGGACUUCAGCACAAAGCAGGAGCGGUCAUACCAACCGCUAAACAUCAAUGGGACCCCAGUAGAGAGAGUGGAGUUUCCGGUACCUACGUGUUCAGAUCACACAGGACCUGUCUUGGUCCUGUCACAUCAACACCCUGGUGAAGAAGGCCCGGCAGCUUCUGUACCACCUGAGACACUUAAGGGACUUCAAACUACCCUCUCAGGUGCUAAAGACUACACCUGCACCAUUGAGAGCGUCCUGACAAGUAGCAUCACUUCCUGGUUCGGGAACAGCAUCAUGCAGGACAGGCGAGUCCUCCAGAGGGUGGUGCGGUCAUCUGAACAUACCAUCCACACCGAGCUCCUUGACAUGCAGGGCACAUACACACUCUCAUUCACUCACACACUACGGACAAUUUUCCAGAGAUGCCAAUCAACCUACCAUGCAUGUCUUUGGAACAGGGGAGGAAACCAGAUUACCCAUA